rnacentral:rRNA from 1 species
ACAUACGAUCAUACCCUCCGGGAAACAUCCGAUCCCGUCUGCUCUCGAGAAAAUAAGCCGGAGAGGGCUGGAUUAGUAGCUAGGUCGGUGACGACUAGCGAAUCCCCAGUGUUGUAUGUC